UUGAAUGGUGGAGAGAUUAGCUAGAGCAGCUUGGCACUGUGAUAUGAAAAGUGGUGCAUGCAUACCUUAAGUGUCCAAGUAUGCAUCAUUUCAGCACAGAAUUCUGUAGGCUGUGUCAGCAGAGGUGCGCAGGAGUGUUCUUGCUGUUUGGAUUGCCCGGUGAUCUAUGUGACAGCAGUCUCUGGGGCUUAGCGAGGAACAAGGCAAUGUCUCAGAAGGAAUCCUCAAGGACAUCUCUGAAAAAAGUUGGGAAGGAAGGAAGAAGGGACAUCUUAUAGAAAAUUCCACCAUUUCCUCAAGGACAAGACAAAAGAUGGCAUCUGGGGGAAUUUGUUCCUCAUCAGCAUUUAGUAGCAAGACGGGUGGAAUCAUUGUCCGAAGACAUCUUUCAGCAACUACAGCUGGAUUUGAAUGACUGCAUUGCUUUCCACUGCAGUUUGAUGAAUCAGUCGACAUGACCGACACAGCCCAGGUAAUUGUUUUUGUUUGAAUGGUUUUUAAGGACAUGACAACUAAAGAGGACCUUCUGACUGCUUUCCCCCUUAAAGAGAGAACAAGAGGCGAAGAUAUCUACAACGAAUUUAAAAAGUACAUACUUGAGAAAAUCAUUCCAGUCAAGAAACUUGUUUGGAUCACAACGGAUGAUGCAUCCGCCAUGCUUGGUGAAAAUGCAGGCUUUGUCGCAUGUUGCAGAAGUGAUCCAGAUUUUCUUUCAUUUGUAAAUUACCACUGUAUAAUCCAUCUGCAAGCACUAGCGAGUAAAAUUAUGGACUUCUCACAUAUAAUGAAAAUCGCUGUCAGAAUUCUAAACUCAAUUCGAGCAAGAGCUGACCAAAUUAGCAGAGGAAUUCAACAGGCUAUUUCAAGAAUUAGACAUAAUGGAGCCAAUCAUCAUGUGUAUCUCAAAUCCGUUCCUUCCAGCAGACAUUGGAGGGUUGGCUGCGAUAUUCCAUCAGUUGUUUGAUUUACAAAGUAGUGGAAUUGAUAUGGAGAUAAUUACCAUGAACGCCAGAUCUAGGGACAGCGAUUUUGAGGGACUCAUAAACCAAAAAAAGUUUCCCUGUGACAUUAUUGAUAUGAACUGUGACCAUAUAGAUCAUCGUUGCAACCAAUGUCCUCUAGUUGCACCAAAUCUUGUACAAAGGAGGUGAAAGGUGUCUACGGAACGUUUUUUUGCUAGUUAUGAUUAUGCUGUCUGUGUGUAUCAUUUUUGUAUUUGAAGUUAUGAAU